GAUGAACGCUGGCGGCGUGCUUAACACAUGUAAGUCGAACGAAGCACUUUAUUUGAUUUCCUUCGGGACUGAUUAUUUUGUGACUGAGUGGCGGACGGGUGAGUAACGCGUGGGUAACCUGCCUUGUACAGGGGGAUAACAGUUGGAAACGGCUGCUAAUACCGCAUAAGCGCACAGCAUCGCAUGAUGCAGUGUGAAAAACUCCGGUGGUAUAAGAUGGACCCGCGUUGGAUUAGCUAGUUGGUGAGGUAACGGCCCACCAAGGCGACGAUCCAUAGCCGACCUGAGAGGGUGACCGGCCACAUUGGGACUGAGACACGGCCCAAACUCCUACGGGAGGCAGCAGUGGGGAAUAUUGCACAAUGGGCGAAAGCCUGAUGCAGCGACGCCGCGUGAGCGAAGAAGUAUUUCGGUAUGUAAAGCUCUAUCAGCAGGGAAGAUAAUGACGGUACCUGACUAAGAAGCACCGGCUAAAUACGUG
rnacentral:rRNA from 1 species